rnacentral:rRNA from 1 species
CCUACGGGUGGCAGCAGUGAGGAAUAUUGGUCAAUGGGCGAGAGCCUGAACCAGCCAAGUCGCGUGAGGGAAGACGGUCCUAUGGAUUGUAAACCUCUUUUGCCGGGGAGCAAAAAGCGGUACGUGUACCGCAUCGAGAGUACCCGGAGAAAAAGCAUCGGCUAACUCCGUGCCAGCAGCCGCGGUAAUACGGAGGAUGCGAGCGUUAUCCGGAUUUAUUGGGUUUAAAGGGUGCGCAGGCGGCGAGUUAAGUCAGCGGUAAAAUUUCGGGGCUCAACCCCGACGAGCCGUUGAAACUGGCUUGCUAGAGUGGGCGAGAAGUAUGCGGAAUGCGUGGUGUAGGAGUGAAAUCCGUAGAUAUCAGGAGAAACAUCAGUGGCGAAGGCGGCCGCCUGGCACAAAACUGACGCUGAGGUGCGAAAGCGUGGGUAGCAAACAGGAUUAGAUACCCUAGAGUC